rnacentral:rRNA from 1 species
AUUGAACGCUGGCGGCAUGCCUUACACAUGCAAGUCGAACGGUAACGGGCCUUCGGGUGCCGACGAGUGGCGAACGGGUGAGUAAUGCAUCGGAACGUACCUUUCAGUGGGGGAUAACGUAGCGAAAGUUACGCUAAUACCGCAUAUUCUGUGAGCAGGAAAGCAGGGGAUCGCAAGACCUUGCGCUGAUUGAGCGGCCGAUGUCAGAUUAGCUAGUUGGUGAGGUAAAGGCUCACCAAGGCGACGAUCUGUAGCGGGUCUGAGAGGAUGAUCCGCCACACUGGAACUGAGACACGGUCCAGACUCCUACGGGAGGCUGCAGUGGGGAAUUUUGGACAAUGGGGGGCAACCCUGAUCCAGCCAUGCCGCGUGAGUGAAGAAGGCCUUCGGGUUGGUUAAAGACGUCUUUCGGUCCCGGGUAAGGAAAGUACGUAUGGG